UACGUAGGGCGCAAGCGUUAUCCGGAAUUAUUGGGCGUAAAGAGCUCGUAGGCGGUUUGUCGCGUCUGCCGUGAAAGUCCGGGGCUCAACCCCGGAUCUGCGGUGGGUACGGGCAGACUAGAGUGAUGUAGGGGAGACUGGAAUUCCUGGUGUAGCGGUGAAAUGCGCAGAUAUCGGGAAGAACACCCGUGGCGAAGGCGGCUCUCUGGGACGGUACUGACGCUGAGACGCGAAAGCGUGGGGAGCGAACAGG
rnacentral:rRNA from 1 species